rnacentral:rRNA from 1 species
GUGAGGAAUAUUGGUCAAUGGUCGCGAGACUGAACCAGCCAAGUAGCGUGCAGGAAGACGGCCCUCCGGGUUGUAAACUGCUUUUAGUUGGGAAUAAAAGGGCGUACGUGUACGCCGAAUUGUAUGUACCAUCAGAAAAAGGACCGGCUAAUUCCGUGCCAGCAGCCGCGGUAAUACGGAAGGUCCGGGCGUUAUCCGGAUUUAUUGGGUUUAAAGGGAGCGUAGGCGGGUUUUUAAGUCAGUUGUGAAAGUCUGCGGCUCAACCGUAGAAUUGCAGUUGAAACUGGAAGCCUUGAGUGCACGCAGGGGUGCCGGAAUUCAUGGUGUAGCGGUGAAAUGCUUAGAUAUCAUGAAGAACUCCGAAAGCGAAGGCAAGUGCCCGGAGUGCAACUGACGCUGAGGCUCGAAAGUGCGGGUAUCAAACAGGAUUAGAAACCCUAGUAGUCC